rnacentral:rRNA from 1 species
UACGGAGGGUGCAAGCGUUAUCCGGAUUCACUGGGUUUAAAGGGUGCGUAGGUGGGUUGGUAAGUCAGUGGUGAAAUCCCCGAGCUUAACUUGGGAACUGCCAUUGAUACUAUCAGUCUUGAAUACCGUGGAGGUCAGCGGAAUAUGUCAUGUAGCGGUGAAAUGCUUAGAUAUGACAUAGAACACCAAUUGCGAAGGCAGCUGGCUACACGAAUAUUGACACUGAGG